UUUAUCAAAAACAUGUCUCUUUGAAAUUUAUUUAAUAAAGAGUUGGGCCUGCUCAAUGAUUUAAUAUUAAAUAGCUGCGGUAUUAUAACUGUACUAAGGUAGCAUAAUAAUUUGCCUUAUAAAUUAGGGCUAGAAUGAAUGGUUUGACGAGAAUUAGACUGUCUCUAUUUUAUUUAUUAGAAAUUAAUUUUUAUAGUGAAAAAGCUUGGAUAUAUUAAAGGGACGAGAAGACCCUAUUGAGCUUAAAAUUAUUAUAUGAAUAUUAAUAAUAUUUAAUUAAUAUUAUUUUUUAUUUUUAUUUAUUUAUAUAAUUUUGAUUGGGGUGAUCAAGGAAUAAAAAAAUUAAUUUAAUAACUUCCUUAAAUUUAUAUAUAGAUAAAUUAAUAAACCAUAUUUUUGCUUAUAAGAUAAGUUACCAUAGGGAUAACAGCGUAAUUUUUUUUGAGAGUUCAUAUUGAAAAAAAAGAUUGCGACCUCGAUGUUGGAUUAAAUAUAACCUUAAGGUGAAGAAGCUUUAUUAGGUGAAUCUGUUCGAUUUUUAAAAUUUUACGUGAUCUGAGUUCAGACCGG
rnacentral:rRNA from 1 species